UCCUACGGGAGGCAGCAGCAAGGAAUUUUGGGCAAUGAGCGAAAGCUUGACCCAGCGACACCGCGUGAGGGAAGAAGGCCUUCGGGUCGUAAACCUCUUUUCUUGGGGAAGAAUUUUGACGGUACCCAAGGAAUAAGCCUCGGCCAACUACGUGCCAGCAGCCGCGGUAAUACGUAGGAGGCGAACGUUAUUCGGAUUUACUGGGCGUAAAGUGAGCGUAGGCGGUUCUCUAAGUCAGAUGUGAAAUCUUCUGAUUCAAUCAGAAGGCGUCAUUUGAUACUGAGGGACUUGAGAGCAGCAGAGGGAAAUGGAAUCCCCGGUGUAGCGGUGAAAUGCGUAGAUAUUGGGGAGAACACCAGUGGCGAAGGCGAUUUCCCAGGUUGUUUCUGACGCUGAGGCUCGAAAGCGUGGGGAGCGAACAGGAUUAGAUACCCGGGUAGUCCA
rnacentral:rRNA from 1 species